rnacentral:rRNA from 1 species
GGGGAAUUGUUCGCAAUGGGCGCAAGCCUGACGACGCAACGCCGCGUGGAGGAUGAAGAUCUUCGGGUCGUAAACUCCUUUCGAUCGAGACGAACGGCCUCUGGGUGAACAAUCCAGAGGAGUGACGGUACCGAGAGAAGAAGCCCCGACUAACUCCGUGCCAGCAGCCGCGGUAAUACGGAGGGUGCGAGCGUUGUCCGGAAUCAUUGGGCGUAAAGGGCGCGUAGGUGGCCCGGUCAGCGUGCGGUGAAAGCUCGGGGCUCAACCCCGAGUCGGCCGUGCGAACUGCUGGGCUCGAGCACUGUAGAGACAGGCGGAAUUCCGGGUGUAGCGGUGGAAUGCGUAGAGAUCCGGAAGAACACCGGUGGCGAAGGCGGCCUGCUGGGCAGUUGCUGACACUGAGGCGCGACAGCGUGGGGAGCAAAC